rnacentral:lncRNA from 1 species
AGGAGGCAUAUUAGACCCCUUCAUAGAUAUGGAUAUAUAUAUUUGAUCUCUUUUGUAUUAUCUGUGGUAGAGUCAUUGAGGUUCAUGAUCCUAUCAAUUAUUAUGAGGCCAUCACCAAUAGUGAGUCUACAUAGUGGUCUAUUAUUAUGAGUGAGGAGAUUGAGUCUCUUUACAAGAAUCAGAUAUAAAAGCUUGUGAAACCACCACAACGUCAG